UUUGUGUAUAACACACACGUAUCGACACAUAUUCCGGGGUGCCCUGUGGGGUCGGUGAUAUGGGAUACGUGGAGGCAUAAC
rnacentral:sRNA from 1 species